ACUUUUAUGUUGAUGACUGAUGAUACAAAAAAAAAAAAAAUCCGUCUCUUUCCCAUAUUUUAACUGUCAUGUUUCUAAAAGAAUGGAAAACUUCGUAUGUUCAGUAAAACACGGUUCUUUAUAACACACCGUUGUCUGGAGUCUGAGGUCGAGUACUUCAGGCAUGUUCAUUGAUGCUGAAUGGAACGACAGAAUGUGUGGGCCAAAGUGCAAGUGUGUUCAGGCUGCAGUGAAAUCAUGUGAUGCACCGUGGGUGAGCCUGCCAGAAGCAGCUCGGCUUCUUCCUGCUUUUGUUUGGAAGUAAGUGUUGACUCUCGUACAUUUCAAAACCCUUUUACUUUUGCCAACCAUUUUGCAUCCUCAUAUUUAGUUCUACGAUCUAUCACAGUUUGAGAAGCUGGAGUCUCAAAGACUGGUCAGAGUUUCAUCUCUCUGCUUUGGAAGGCUCGAAGCAAAUGGGAAGUGAGGUGUAGAGGCCUGACCUUCACAUGACUAUGGUACGAAGAUGCCCUCCAGCAGGCUGUGCUUGCAGACCAUAUGGAGCCUCACUUGGGGAAUUUUCCCAACCCUGUGGAUUUACAGUAAGAUGAAGUUGCCUGUGGAGUAAUGCUGGUGGAUGCAGCUUCUGGAAUAACACACCUGGCUUGCCUUGGGAUGCUGCAAGUGGCCUAACGUUUCCCACAUAAUGCCCACUGGGGACAAGGACCAUAGCUGAGAAGACUGUAUCUCUACCCUUGACUCCAUGAGAAUAUUUGCUCUGAGCUCUCGGGCAUCCUGGAGCUCCCUCUAAAAUAUGACACCAUCCUACUGCAAUAUCAAAGGGUUGGACAGCUCCGUAGAAUUUAGACCACCUGUCUUCUGAAAACAGGAAGAUGUGCAAAGAUUGACAGCUGUGGACCAGGGAAGAAGCCCAAUGCUGUAUGGGAUUGAUCACUGCUUCAUGCUCAAUGCUGGUUCACACAGACCUUUUUUGGGGAGAGCAAAUACAUUCCAAUAUUACGCCUGUGCUCAGGAACUUCUUGGCAUACCUGUUAAGCAUUCCAGAAGGAUUUGAGAAUGAUCAAAUAAAGCUGGAGUAUUUGGCGAUUUGGAAAAUUGAGGUAGGUAAGGGAUGGUCUCUUUCUGAGCCUCAUGGAAACAAAAUUUAAUUUUCAGAAUGGACAGUCUCUAUCGCUGGAUUUAGGGUAUAUUUUAUAGUGUUCUUUAUGGAUCUUUCUGUGGCAAUUCAAAGCACUUGGGAAACUGACUUCCCAUUCUUCCAUAUCCUGGCUCUCUUUCUCAGCAUUUCUUCCAUUCACUUGACCAUAGUGCCUAACAUGUGCUCCCUGCUCCUACCAGGAGAACCCAUUGUUUCCUAGGAGAAUCAGUGUUGAUUUGCUAUGGAUGACUGCCCUGAGAGAGGACCAGAAAGUGGAAAAGGGUCCUAUAGUGAGGUUAGAACACAUUUGGGACACCCCAGACUGUCAAAUCUUUCAUUUUGCCUAGCACAUUCUGUGUUUUCUCCUCUACCUCCAUCAUGUGUUGGAGUCACACUAAGUCUGUGGCUACCCUGAUGAGGGGAAGACCUAAAGCUUUCUGCAAACCUAGGUUUUCCGUUCUACUUGUCUGUGCUCCAUGGAGUCUUGCUGAGCCUAGAGUGUUAUCUGGUAGAACUAUGUAUUGCAUGAGUUUCUUCCAACUCAGGUGUUGUGGAUGUUGAAUGAAAAGGAAGAGGGACCAAGCUUAGUGAGCCAUAUGAUAUGCCAGAGGAUAUGCCUCAGAAACAGAAGAGGGAUUUUUCUUGAUUAAUGACUUACAAUUUAUCAAUGACAGCAGGUAGGGUGUGCUGUGGGAUGUCCUGUAUGCUGUGAAUAUUUGUUGCUCUGAUUGGCUGAUAAAUAAAGCUGC